rnacentral:rRNA from 1 species
GACGAACGCUGGCGGCGUGCCUAAUACAUGCAAGUAGAACGCAGUUGCGAACGGGUGCGUACCGCGUAGUUACCUGCCUCAUAGCGCCGGAUAACUAUGGGCAACGAUUGCUAAUACCUCAUACUUCGAGAUGGACCUGCGUUGUGUUAGCUAGUUGGUGAGCGAGUGGCUCACCAAGCCGACGAUACAUAGCCGACCUGAGAGGGUGAUCGGCCACACUGGGACUGAGACACGGCCCAGACUCCUACGGGAGGCAGCAGUAGGGAAUCUUCGGCAAUGGACGAAAGUCUGACCGAGCAACGCCGCGUGAGUGAAGAAGGUUUUCGGAUCGUAAAACUCUGUUGUUAGAGAAGCGGUAUCUAACCAGAAAGCCACGGCUAACUACGUGCCAGCAGCCGCGGUAAUUC